AAAUUGAAGAGUUUGAUCAUGGCUCAGAUUGAACGCUGGCGGCAGGCCUAACACAUGCAAGUCGAACGGUAACAGGAAGCAGCUUGCUGCUUCGCUGACGAGUGGCGGACGGGUGAGUAAUGUCUGGGAAACUGCCCGAUGGAGGGGGAUAACUACUGGAAACGGUGGCUAAUACCGCAUAACGUCGCAAGACCAAAGAGGGGGACCUUCGGGCCUCUUGCCAUCGGAUGUGCCCAGAUGGGAUUAGCUGGUAGGUGGGGUAACGGCUCACC
rnacentral:rRNA from 1 species